AGAUUGAACGCUGGCGGAAUGCUUUACACAUGCAAGUCGAACGGCAGCACGGGGGCAACCCUGGUGGCGAGUGGCGAACGGGUGAGUAAUACAUCGGAACGUGCCCAGUCGUGGGGGAUAACGUAGCGAAAGCUACGCUAAUACCGCAUACGAUCUAUGGAUGAAAGCGGGGGACCGUAAGGCCUCGCGCGAUUGGAGCGGCCGAUGGCAGAUUAGGUAGUUGGUGGGGUAAAGGCUCACCAAGCCUGCGAUCUGUAGCUGGUCUGAGAGGACGACCAGCCACACUGGGACUGAGACACGGCCCAGACUCCUACGGGAGGCAGCAGUGGGAAUUUUGGACAAUGGGGGCAACCCUGAUCCAGCCAUUCCGCGUGAGUGAAGAAGGCCUUGGGUGUAAAGCUCUUUGUCCGGAACGAACGGUAGCGUGAAUAUCGCUGCCUACUGACGGUACCGAAGAAUAAGCACCGCUAACUACGUGCCAGCAGCCGCGUAAUCUA
rnacentral:rRNA from 1 species